rnacentral:tRNA from 1 species
AGGGCUAUCGCCAAACGGUAAGGCAACGGACUCUGACUCCGUCAUUGCGUAGGUUCGAAUCCUACUACCCCAGCCA